rnacentral:rRNA from 1 species
GAUGAACGCUAGCUACAGGCUUAACACAUGCAAGUCGAGGGGCAGCGCAGUGUAGCAAUACAUGGGCGGCGACCGGCGCACGGGUGCGUAACGCGUAUCCAACCUUCCCGUUACUCUUGGAUAGCCUUCCGAAAGGGAGAUUAAUACAAGAUGGUAUUCAAAUUCCGCAUGUUAUUUGAAUUAAAGAUUUAUCGGUAACGGAUGGGGAUGCGUGACAUUAGAUAGUAGGCGGGGUAACGGCCCACCUAGUCUACGAUGUCUAGGGGUUCUGAGAGGAAGGUCCCCCACACUGGAACUGAGACACGGUCCAGACUCCUACGGGAGGCAGCAGUGAGGAAUAUUGGUCAAUGGUCGGAAGACUGAACCAGCCAAGUAGCGUGAAGGAUGAAAGGUUCUAUGGAUUGUAAACUUCUUUUAUACGGGAAUAAAACACCUUACGUGUAGGGUCUUGUAUGUACCGUAUGAAUAAGCAUCGGCUAACUCCGUG